GAGUUUGAUCCUGGCUCAGGAUGAACGCUGGCGGCGUGCCUAAUACAUGCAAGUCGAGCGAACGGACGAGAAGCUUGCUUCUCUGAUGUUAGCGGCGGACGGGUGAGUAACACGUGGAUAACCUACCUAUAAGACUGGGAUAACUUCGGGAAACCGGAGCUAAUACCGGAUAAUAUUUUGAACCGCAUGGUUCAAAAGUGAAAGACGGUCUUGCUGUCACUUAUAGAUGGAUCCGCGCUGCAUUAGCUAGUUGGUAAGGUAACGGCUUACCAAGGCAACGAUGCAUAGCCGACCUGAGAGGGUGAUCGGCCACACUGGAACUGAGACACGGUCCAGACUCCUACGGGAGGCAGCAGUAGGGAAUCUUCCGCAAUGGGCGAAAGCCUGACGGAGCAACGCCGCGUGAGUGAUGAAGGUCUUCGGAUCGUAAAACUCUGUUAUUAGGGAAGACAUAUGUGUAAGUAACUGUGCACAUCUUGACGGUACCUAAUCAGAAGGCCACGGCUAACUACGUCG
rnacentral:rRNA from 1 species